UUAUAUGUUAAUAAUCAUGUAGGGUGUAAUAGUAGGAUUUAUUUGACUGUGCUAUUUUGACACGUCAUUUUUUAAUUGGAUAUUACAUGGAAACAAAAUUAAAAAUUUAAUGGAAGGGUAGACACAGGGAUUUAUUUGAUAAUAGUUCAAACCUUAGGAAGUAAAUUGAUAACUUUUUAACCUUAGGAAGCAAUUCGAUCAAAGGUCAUUUCCCCUCCCCCCCUUUUUAAAUAAUUUGACCUAUUUAUGGUUCUUGUAUGAUGAAUACUUGAAGGAUUAUCUUUUUUAAAUUUAAAAUUAAUUGGAUACAAAUACAAUGAUUGGGAUUUAUCUCCCAUAUUGCGGGAUUCUACAGGGGUGCAGCUCUUCCAACUAAUACACCUGGUACCCCCUGCAUCUUUGAUCCUUAUGGAAGGGCUGGUAUAUGUGGUGAUUGGUUACUUGGUUCAAGUUUAGAGUCAGCAGCCUUAAGUGGAAUGACCCUUGCCAAUCACAUUGCAGAUUAUUUCCAAACGGGUGGAGCUCGUCCUGAAGAGUUUGCCAUGGGUUUAGAUAACGAGUUUCAACCGCUUGAAGGACAUGAUAUUGGACAAUUUCCGGGACUGGAGUCUGAAAAAGAGAUAAAUGAGGCCCAGGCAUAUCAACUUGCCUCUUGAAGUUGUGCUGGAGCAUGAGAAUCUCUUGGUUUGGGACAUUUCAUUGACUCGUAGAACUUCUGGCAGAAGUUGUUCAAGGCUCAGAGUUAUCAGCUAUCAGAAUAGUUGGUGAAGGAAGAUAUUGAUAUUAAUGCUCUCCUACCAAAUUGUGGAUGCAUAAUUUGAGCGGUUCAUCUGCCUAAAAGAGCAAUGGGAACAUGUGUUACUUGGCAACUUAUCACCACAGGUGUAUUGGUUUCUCAGGUCUAUGAAGAUUACUUUUAUGCUCCAUUAAUUUUGAGGCUCGAGGUAGGGGCUCUAGUCGGGGCAAAGUCGUAUUGAGGGUUUAGGACUGUGGUCUUGCGAGUUUAGGGCUUUUUGGGGUUUUAAGGGUUUGUUUUGCAGGCCUAUGGUUUUUUUGGGCUUAGGGCUCUCUUAUCGGGGUCAUAUUGUGGACUAACGUUGGUUUUCUUGUGUACUUAAGGACACCUUACGCUUUUUGAUAUGUACAACAUUACUUAUAAAAAAAAAAAAAUGAAAAUUACUGAA